rnacentral:tRNA from 1 species
GCACCUCGGGCUAGUGGAGCAGGCGCCUUCUAAGCGCUUGGCCGCAGGUUCGAGUCCUGCCGGGGGCGCCA